rnacentral:rRNA from 1 species
UACAGAGACUUCAAGCGUUAUUCGGAUUCACUGGGCGUAAAGGGUGCGCAGGCGGCCGGGUGUGUCAGAUGUGAAAUCCCGAGGCUUAACCUCGGAACUGCGUCUGAAACUACUCGGCUAGAGUAUUGGAGAGGGUAACGGAAUUCACGGUGUAGCAGUGAAAUGCGUAGAUAUCGUGAGGAACACCAGAGGCGAAGGCGGUUACCUGGACAAUUACUGACGCUCAGGCACGAAAGCAUGGGGAGCAAAAGGG